CAGUACAGCCCCAACUGACAUCACCUACAACUGUUCCCCUGAAAGAUUAAGACUGAUACAAGAUGUCAUGUCGGAAGAUGCUUUCAAAAAUUUUCACAAUAUCUUCUGUAACUGGAGAUGAACAUCAAGCUAGACCUUCUGUGGGUGGCAGAACCAAACCAAACAUUGCAACUAUGAUAGAGAAACUAUGAACUAACUUUCAUUUAGAAACUAUCAAGAGAAAAGCAGCUCCAGCUGUCAGAAUAAAAGUAAACUGAAAAUAUAAUGAGUUAGCAGGCACCCACCAGUACCCGUCAUGCUGUGCCGCAGGCUCAGCUCUGCCGCUCACGCCACACGUGCUGCCUUGUGACAGGGAGCGGAGUGGCUGAAGAGCAAAGAAGUGCCUUGGACAAACUUGCGGUUCAGAUAAACCAAAUCUUACUCAAACACUCUGCUAUAAGUAUCCUGCAAUCCAGAUCUCCCACUGCAAAUGAUUCAUUUCCCCUCUUGGCCUGGCUGUGUGCGCACGUGUCUGGUGGUGGUGAGCCAGAGCUGACCAGUGCCCUGGGACAAAGAAAGGAAAAGAAGGUAAAAGGGCGGGGGAGAAUAAUCUACCCAGUCUCAGGGGACAUUUUUCACCAGUUUAGGGCAUUUCCACCAGAACAGUUUUGGUAAUGAACAGACCAUAAAUGUGCUUGGGGUGGCUUGAACAUCUGAGCAUUCCUUGAACUCUACAAGACAAGGGUUUGGCAGGAGAGUGUGAACCAAACUUGCAAAUGUUCCCCUGAGCUGGGCCAAGAGGGACAUCUGUAGCUGCUGUCUGUGCCAGGAGGGACCUGGAUGAUAUAAAUUUCUAUUAGGAACCUUUGUAUUAAGCCUAGUUUGCACAAGCAGACCCUGUAACUAUCAAAGGCAAUAGUUCAAAUAUGCCUUCAUGUGUGUCCAAGUCUUCGUGCUGCAAGGCACAGAGUUAGAUGGGUGGGGC
rnacentral:lncRNA from 1 species